rnacentral:rRNA from 1 species
CAGUAGCCGCGGGAAUACGGAGGGUGCAAGCGUUAUCCGGAUUUAUUGGGUUUAAAGGGUCCGUAGGCGGAUCUGUAAGUCAGUGGUGAAAUCUCACAGCUUAACUGUGAAACUGCCAUUGAUACUGCAGGUCUUGAGUAAAUUUGAAGUGGCUGGAAUAAGUAGUGUAGCGGUGAAAUGCAUAGAUAUUACUUAGAACACCAAUUGCGAAGGCAGGUCACUAAGAUUUAACUGACGCUGAUGGACGAAAGCGUGGGGAGCGAACAGGAUUAGAUACCCCUGUAGUCCCUGUCUCUUAUAC